UGUUGUGUAGCCAAGCUCAUUUGGAACUGCCUAUGGAGGGGAGAAGAGCCUCUCCAUCACUUGCCUGUCUCUAUUCUGGUCCAUUUGUCCUUGGUUGCCUCUCCUUCUUCAGCCUGUACUUCACUUCCUCAUGGAAUCUUUUUUUUCACAAGAAGGAAGUUCACUCUCACUGGAAUAAACACAAAGACCUGUUUCCCUGUCCAGAAUUUUAUUUUGUGGUUCCUUCACAUGGAUACAGACGUGUUUAAGCUAUUGUCACACUCCAUGGAGUCUUGGUUCACCUUGUGUAGCAGGAAUCUUAGAGAGUCUUAUUAAUAAAAUCGAACCUGGAGCCAGGUAUUGGGGUGAAGCUGGAAGAUCAGAGAGACAGAACAAACCACAGCUGGUCAACUCCUCAGAUGGUCUUGUUUCCUCAGACUGGAAGCCUCUGUGUCUUCAUAUCCGAAUGGCUCUCAGCUGAACUGUGCUGCUCAAAAGCCUAAAAGCUUAACCAACCAAAUGCUUAACCAGCCAAAAGCUUCUAGUUUCUGGUCUUCACGCCUUAUAUAUCUUUCCUUUCUACCACCACUCCCUGGAAUUAAAGGCUCGCUUUCUAGGAUUAAAGGCUUGCGUCACCAUGCUUGGCUAUAUCCUUGAACAGAUGGAUUUCUGUCUCUGGAAUGCUAGGAUUAAAGGUGUGUGCUACCACUGCCUAUCCUCUAUUUUUAAUAUUGUGGCUGUUGUGUUCUCUGACCCCAGAUAAGUUUAUUAGGGUGCACAAUAUUUUGGGGAAUACAAUACCACCACAACCUUGUGCAAAAGUUGUGGCUGACACAUAGGAGAGAUGGGGGCCAGUGACCAUUUCCAGUCUUUUUCAGUGUUCCUAUCUGCCUUUUAUGGGAGAGAGUGCUAUAGGUUUGCUACUUCAAUUUCUUCAAUGGGCCUCCUCUGUAAUGAAAUUAUUCUGUCUUUUAUACUCUAGAACAUUAACUUUGCAACUUUGUUCUUUUGACAAAUCUAAAUGUAGCUACUUUUAAGAAGUCUCUUGAGGUCUCCAUUUUGCUGAAAAUACCUCUUGCUUGUGAGUAGUCUCACGGUAUGAUAUACAAUAGGAAUGCACCUUAUGGCAUAACUAACUGUGUGGCCAUGUGCAUAUGCAGGGAUGUGCAUAGACCUACAGAUACACUCGUUUGGAUAUAAAAAUUUAAAUCUUCUUAAUGUAAAUUUUGGAAAGAGGAGCUAUAGAUGUUGAUGCAUUUUGCUGUCUUCAAAUAGAGUCCAGUAAAAAUUUAAAACUGGGGCAGAAAAUGCAAAUGUCUUAUCUGAAUAACUUUUCUCUGCACAGAAGUCAGAAGUUUUAUGUGGGAGCCAGUAUGUACCUGCAGAGAGAAAACAUUUCAUGCAUCUAGUUCUUUUGCAAAGAGGCUUCCCCAUUUGCAUGAAUUUCCUCCCAGAUUCUUAAAAAUGACCUUUGCCAAGGAUCACAUGGAUCUUUCUUAAUAGUCACAUGUUGCAAAACCAUUUCUUUAUCCAUCUAUACCCUCUUUCAAAGCCUUAAGAUGGAGAAAGCUUCAAUAGGAAUCUCAUGAAUCUAUGCAUGAUGAUGUAGAAGGUACUUCAGGAGUUCAAGGUCAUAUGUGAUGUGAGAGUUCAAAUAAUAGUAAGGCAACAGAAAAUCUGCACAAGGAAGACUAAAACACCAUCUUUAUUAACUUACUCAAGGGGACUUGCGUGGUGAAGAAGUUGAUAAGUCAGGGUUGUCGUGUUUAUUACUUUUAGGUGCACUAAUUUUAUUUUAGGAAUUAAACCUAAUAAUUGUGCUUUGCUUUAUUUUUGGUUACCUUAUUUGCAAUGAUUUUCCAGGCACUUGAGGGUGUAGAUUUCAUUAAAUCCAAAGAGAGCAUUUGUUUUAGCUUAAUAAUACAUGCGAGUCCCCAAACAGUAAGUUGGUUAUAUUUAAAUAUGAUCAUGUGGGGAAAGCCAUAAUUGUUAUGGUCCAUAAAUGCAUGAGAAAAUGGUGAAACAGGAGUAGUACCUAUUGAUCCCGCAUAAGCAAAAGCAGAGUGCAUUACAUUAAGAUGCUCAAAUGGAGCAAUAUCUAACAUGAAAUUACUAUACAUUAAAUUCCUACCUCUCCAAAUGUACUUCAAGCAUCCUCUUACUGAGAAAUAUCUACAAAAAGCACUUUCAUUCUGUGCAUUUAAUAUUAUAGUACCUUAAAGAUAAUGCUUAAAGCAACGAGAUCUCCUCACUUUGAAUUCAAAGUGUGUAUUUAAGGCUAGUGUUCUUACUUUCAUUAUUUGUGAUGGGAAUGAGUUUCAAAGAUGAGGACAGAGAAAAUCCAAAUCAAAGAAUAAAUGCUAGUAACUCGUGUAUUAGAAGGUGGUGAUAAUUA